rnacentral:tRNA from 1 species
CCUUUGCAUGGACAACGCGUUCUGGGAUGCGCUCUCGGUCGAAGUGGGAAAUGAGAUCGAUCAGGUGGAAGUCCUGGAGGAGGA